rnacentral:rRNA from 1 species
AUACGUAGGGAGCGAGCGUUGUCCGGAAUUACUGGGUGUAAAGGGAGCGUAGGCGGGAGUGCAAGUCAGAUGUGAAAUACAUGGGCUCAACCCAUGGGCUGCAUUUGAAACUGCAUUUCUUGAGUGAAGUAGAGGUAAGCGGAAUUCCUGGUGUAGCGGUGAAAUGCGUAGAUAUCAGGAGGAACACCGGUGGCGAAGGCGGCUUACUGAGCUUUUACUGACGCUGAGGCUCGAAAGCGUGGGGAGCAAACAGGAUUAGAUACCCUGGUAGUCCACGCUGUAAACGAUGAUUACUAGGUGUGGGGGGACUGACCCCUUCCGUGCCGCAGUUAACACAAUAAGUAAUCCGCCUGGGGAGUACGGCCGCAAGGUUGAAACUCAAAUGAAUUGACGGGG